rnacentral:rRNA from 1 species
UAGGGAAUCUUCCGCAAUGGACGCAAGUCUGACGGAGCAACGCCGCGUGAGUGAAGAAGGAUUUCGGUUCGUAAAACUCUGUUGUUAGAGAAGAACAGCGCAUAGAGUAACUGUUAUGCGUGUGACGGUAUCUAACCAGAAAGCCACGGCUAACUACGUGCCAGCAGCCGCGGUAAUACGUAGGUGGCAAGCGUUGUCCGGAUUUAUUGGGCGUAAAGCGAGCGCAGGCGGUUAGAUAAGUCUGAAGUUAAAGGCAGUGGCUCAACCAUUGUAGGCUUUGGAAACUGUUUAACUUGAGUGCAGAAGGCGAGAGUGGAAUUCCAUGUGUAGCGGUGAAAUGCGUAGAUAUAUGGAGGAACACCGGUGGCGAAAGCGGCUCUCUGGUCUGUAACUGACGCUGAGGCUCGAAAGCGUGGGGAGCGAACAGG